rnacentral:rRNA from 1 species
UUGCUGCCGGGGUGAGAGUGGCGAACGGGUGAGUAAUGCGUGACCGACCUGCCCCAUGCACCGGAAUAGCUCCUGGAAACGGGUGGUAAUGCCGGAUGUUCCACAUGAGCGCAUGCGAGUGUGGGAAAGGCUUUUUGCGGCAUGGGAUGGGGUCGCGUCCUAUCAGCUUGUUGGUGGGGUAACGGCCUACCAAGGCGUUGACGGGUAGCCGGCCUGAGAGGGCGACCGGCCACAUUGGGACUGAGAUACGGCCCAGACUCCUACGGGAGGCAGCAGUGGGGAAUAUUGCACAAUGGGCGCAAGCCUGAUGCAGCGACGCCGCGUGCGGGAUGGAGGCCUUCGGGUUGUAAACCGCUUUUGUUCAAGGGCAAGGCACGGUUUCGGCCGUGUUGAGUGGAUUGUUCGAAUAAGCACCGGCUAACUACGUGCCAGCAGCCGCGGUAAUACGUAGGGUGCAAGCGUUAUCCGGAUUUAUUGGGCGUAAAGGGCUCGUAGGCGGUUCGUCGCGUCCGGUGUGAAAGUCCAUCGCUUAACGGUGGAUCCGCGCCGGGUACGGGCGGGCUUGAGUGCGGUAGGGGAGACUGGAAUUCCCGGUGUAACGGUGGAAUGUGUAGAUAUCGGGAAGAACACC